UUGCUUCAGCAGCACAUAUACUAAAAUUGGAACAAUACAGAGUAGAUUAGCAUGGCUUCUGCACAAGGAUGCCACACAAAUUUGUGAAACAUUCAAUAUUUUU
ensembl:snRNA U6 U6 spliceosomal RNA